UAGUUAAUCCAUAUAUUAAAUUAUUAACUCUAUAAAAAUCUUUUGUUGUAUUAAAUUUCAUAAUAGUAAAUGGUUAGAUACCCUUCUCAAGGUUCUCUACUACAACAAUGUAUGAAACACCACCCUUAGAAGGAUUUACAUCAUUCAUGAGUCAUGAAAUGUGGUAAAGAACUAAGAGCGCUUUGGGGAAAUAUGUAAAUUACAAACAUUCAUAAAUAUAUCUGUUAUGGGACUAAGGAAAGUUAACAAUAAGAAAAAGGCUUUGCUCGUUGUUUUGGACCCUGCUCCUCCACGUAAUUUACAGACGUUAGGUUCUUCACCUCGUACACCUUGUCCUAUUCAUUUCCGAAUCUGCGUAACUUCACUCUCCGUUGUUUUCCCAUUAAAGUGAGUUUUGCACACUCACAAAUGCAGAGAUGGUUGUAAUCAUAAGCUCUCCCAGUAAUAAAACAUUCUCAUUUAUCCACAUACCCUUAUGCGCAGACUAUUAUUGACCGCUAUCUGUUGGCGAAACUUGAACCCCAGCUAACACAAACAUCACCAAACAGUUUUUGGAGAAUUUUUGCAACAUGGAACUAAGCAGACUUAAUGCGGAGUACACGACUGUAAAUGAAGAGUCGUUGAAAUGUAGACAAAAGAGUGAUGUACGUGCUUUCCAGGAUUAAAACGGUUGGCCAAGAUGAUCAGCGAUAAAGAGGUCCUUAUAAAACAUGGGCAAGGAACACCUAUAUGCAUUCGAGAAAAACUUGAUUAAGCUGCAUGAUACUCUCUUUCGAAAACAUAAAUCGAGAAUAUUUUUGAAAGAAAUUCAAGAUGACAAUAAGUAUUAUUUCAAAAUUGUAAAUUAGAAAAACUUUUCUUCUGUUGGAGAAGAGUUCAUCAUUUCAUACGCUUCUAUUACUUGAGAAGAGUUCAAUUAUGUUAGCCACACACAAAAAUAUUAUAAACCAAAUUUUUUCUCAAAUCGAUAAAUAGUUUACAAAAUAAGAUCACAACACGAGAAAUAGUAGACAAAAAAGAAAUUUAAGAAACACAAAGCAAAAUCUGAAAAAUCUCAAAUUUUUAAAAGAACAAGAACUAAGAUAUCAUAGGUUUAUGAGCAAAUUAAAGCAACAAAAAAUCAUAAGCAUGCUAAAGAAGUGAAAACAUAGAUUUAUAUACCUCUGGUAAAUCAUCGAUUCGAUGAGAACUAAAGCUCUCCAAUCACCGGUAAUAAUCCUCUUCACUUUAGUUUUCCUCAACAAAUUAAUCAACCGCAAUUAUACUAGAAGAAGGAGAUGUGAUAUGGGUUGUGGAUGCUUGUACGGAUCCAUCGGUCUACCUUGACUUUUAUAGAUAGAAUCGGCGCUGGGGAGGGG
rnacentral:lncRNA from 1 species